rnacentral:rRNA from 1 species
GUGGGGAAUAUUGGACAAUGGGGGGAACCCUGAUCCAGCCAUGCCGCGUGUGUGAAGAAGGCCUUUUGGUUGUAAAGCACUUUAAGCGAGGAGGAGGCUACCGAGAUUAAUACUCUUGGAUAGUGGACGUUACUCGCAGAAUAAGCACCGGCUAACUCUGUGCCAGCAGCCGCGGUAAUACAGAGGGUGCAAGCGUUAAUCGGAUUUACUGGGCGUACAGCGCGCGUAGGUGGCCAAUUAAGUCAAAUGUGGAAUCCCCGAGCUUAACUUGGGAAUUGCAUUCGAUACUGGUUGGGUAGAGUAUGGGAGAGGAUGGUAGAAUUCCAGGUGUAGCAGUGAAAUGCGUAGAGAUCUGGAGGAAUACCGAUGGCGAAGGCAGCCAUCUGGCCUAAUACUGACACUGAGGUGCGAAAGCAUGGGGAGCAAACAGGAUUAGAUACCCGUGUAGUCC